UUGGUAGGCCGGGUGUGUAAGCGCAGCGAUGCGUUGAGCUAACCGGUACUAAUGAACGGUGAGGCUUAACCUUACAACGCCGAAG
rnacentral:rRNA from 1 species